rnacentral:rRNA from 1 species
UACGAAGGGGGCUAGCGUUGCUCGGAAUCACUGGGCGUAAAGCGCACGUAGGCGGCUUUCUAAGUCAGGGGUGAAAUCCUGGAGCUCAACUCCAGAACUGCCUUUGAUACUGGGGAGCUAGAGUCCGGAAGAGGUGAGUGGAACUGCGAGUGUAGAGGUGAAAUUCGUAGAUAUUCGCAAGAACACCAGUGGCGAAGGCGGCUCACUGGUCCGGUACUGACGCUGAGGAGCGAAAGCGUGGGGAGCGAACAGG